GAGCCCGCGGCCUAUCAGCUAGUUGGUGAGGUAACGGCCCACCAAGGCUUUUGACGGGUAGCUGGUCUUAGAGGACGAUCAGCAACAUUGGGACUGAGACACUGCCCAGACUCCUACGGGAGGCUGCAGUCGAGGAUCUUUAGCAAUGCCCGAAAGGGUGACUAUGCGACGCCGCGUGCAGGAUGAAGGCCUUCGGGUUGUAAACUGCUGUCAGGGGGGAAGAAACCCUCAUAUUUAAAAGAUGUGAGGCUGACAUCACCCCCAAAGGAAGCCACGGCUAACUCUGUGCCAGCAGCCGCGGUAAGACAGAGGUGGCAAGCGUUGUUCGGAUUCAUUGGGUGUAAAGGGUCCGUAGGUGGUCGAGCAAGUCUGAUGUGAAAUCCCAUGGCUCAACCGUGGAACUGCAUUGGAAACUGUCCGACUUGAGUACCGCAGAGGUGAAGGGAAUUCCCGGUGUAAGGGUGAAAUCUGUAGAUAUCGGGAGGAACACCAGUGGCGAAAGCGCUUCACUGGGCGGUUGCUGACACUGAGGGACGAAAGCAAGGGGAGCAAACAGGAUUAGAUACCCUGGUAGUCCUUGCCGUAAACGAUGUGGAUUAGGUGCCGGGGGUGUUGAUCCCUCCGGUGCCGCAGUUAACACAUUAAAUCCACCACCUGGGGAGUACGGUCGCAAGACUGAAACUCAAAGAAAUUGACGGGGACCCGCACAAGCGGUGGAGCAUGUGGUUUAAUUCGAGGCUACGCGAAGAACCUUACCCAGGCUUGACAUGGUUAGGACAGCCGGUGAAAGCCGGUCUUCUCGCAAGAGACCUUUCCACAGGUGCUGCAUGGCUGUCGUCAGCUCGUGCUGUGAAGUGUUGGGUUAAGUCCCGCAACGAGCGCAACCUUUAUUCUUAGUUGCCAUCAUUCAGUUGGGCACUCUAGGAAGACUGCCGGUGAUAAACUGGAGGAAGGAGGAGACGACGUCAAGUCAGUAUGGCCCUUAUGCCUGGGGCUACACACGUGCUACAAUGGCCGCCACAAUGGGCUGCGAACCCGCGAGGGGGAGCUAAUCCCAAAAAAACGGCCCCAGUUCAGAUCGCAGGCUGCAACUCGCCUGCGUGAAGUCGGAAUCGCUAGUAACGGUACAUCAGCAUCGGUACCGUGAAUACGUUCCCGGGCCUUGUACACACCG
rnacentral:rRNA from 1 species